AUGGAGCGGCUCAAGGUCUCCAAGGACAAGCCUGUUGAGCACCGAGUUGGGGCGCGCGGGGCCCGAGGGCUUGAGGAUACUCAUGAGGACCAUGAUACCUCCACUGAGAAUGCAGACGAAUCCAACCAUGACCCCCAGUUUGAACCAAUAGUUUCUCUUCCUGAGCAAGAAAUUAAAACACUAGAGGAAGAUGAGGAGAAACUUUUUAAAAUGCGAGAAAAGUUGUUCCGAUUUGCUUCAGAGAAUGAUAGUCCAGAAUGGAAAGAACGAGGCACCGGCGAUGUCAAGCUCCUGAAGCAUAAGGAUAAGGGGACCAUCCACCUCCUCAUGAGGAAGGACAAGACCCUAAAAAUCUGCGCCAAUCAUUAUAUCACGCCUAUGAUGGAGCUAAAGCCAAAUGCUGGCAGUGACCGUGCCUGGGUCUGGAAUACCCAUGCUGACUUCGCCGAUGAGUAUCCCAAGCCGGAGCUGCUUGCCAUCCGCUUCCUAAAUGCUGAGAAUGCACAGAAAUUUAAAACAAAGUUUGAA